CAAGCCUUCCUGUGCUCUUCACAUGGACUGGACAGCAUGGAUUCCAACAUCAGAGUUUGGAUGGAGGAUCAGGUAAGUCUGAGAGAUGGGAACUGAAAAGUAUUGGUAGAUGGGGAGGUUAAGGGAUUGGGGGAGUAGGGACAGAUAAACCAGGGGGGGAUAAACCACAUAUUAGGGAAAUGAGUACAAGAUAGCACUGGUGCUACCCUGAUAACACUACUUUAUUGCUUUGCUUACAAUAUUGCUUCAUCAGUACAGGACCCCUGAUGUAGCAUGUUUUCUUUUUUGAGAAACGGGUCCAAACUGACGACGCUGAAGUUGGCAUCCGAUUCACAGCAUCCGAUUCGGCUUGAAAACCACUUAGAAUCUUCAAAUCGGUCCUGAUUGAAAACCACUACACCUAGACUCUUCAAAUCUGGACUACAUUAUCACAGUGAGGCUAUACAUUAUGUAAAACAUAGUUUCAGAUUUGUGAAACCUUUACCCUAUUUGUGAAAAUGCAAUACAGGCUUAUUUGAAUGCUUUUUAGGGGUCCAGACCACAUUGCAUUUUCACAAAUAGGUUAAAGGUUUCACAAAUCUGAAACUAUGUUUUACAUAAUGUAUAUCCUCACUGUGAUAAUUGAGUCCAGAUUUGAAGAGUCUAGGUGUAGUGGUUUUCAAUCAGGACCGAUUUAAAGUGGACCAGCUGCUGAAUCGGAUGCUGCGAAUCGGAUGCCAACUUCAGCGUCGUUCCAAACUGAUAUGAUAUGCAACAAUAACAGCAAUAAGCUCGCGACCAUAUAACAUCAAAAAAUAACCGUCAACAAAGCUCGCGUCCAUAUAACAACGAAAAAUAACCGUCAGUUGCCUGCCAACAACCACAUUUGAUGCCGACAACUUCACAUCGUCCAGUAAACCCGUCAAACAAUACCAAAACAAAGAAACAAGUAAACCGGUUCACUUAGCCAAGGUAAGGCAAACCCCACCCGUUUGACAAAGUACCGGCUAAAUUGCUAGCGCUAGUCGUAAUGUUGGCGAAUCUAGUCGUAAUGUUGUCAACAAAUUCGCCAACAACUGUAGCUAGCCAGCUAGCUAGCCGCCAGCCGGGUUACCGUCUAGCCGCUACAAAAUAAUUCAAUUAUAGCCUACCUCUUACGACAGCAAAAUUACAAAAAAUGGCAGAGAGUAAAAUAAUUUUAUCAAAGAGGUCGCUGCGAAGGCAUGUUAAAAGAGGAGCGGAUGCUGCGUUGGCAGCGCUUCAUGCUAGCGGGCCCACUUACUUUAACCUGGCCGCUGGCGCAGACACAUUAGACACACCACCAAGUGUCCCAGCUUACACAGAAAUAGAAAACGAUCAUUUAAAGCGGAGAUGGGGAUUGGGUAAUGGCAUCAGAGGAGAGCGCCUCCUCUGGCGAGGAUGACUGGGAGUUCAAUGAUUUGUCGAGCUCUAGCAGUGGCUCAGAUUCAGAGGAGGGGGGCAGUUUUCAAAGGGACUUAAGACAUGAGCUCAAGGAAUGGGCAAUCACAACAAAUACACCAAUUUCCCACAUUUCCAGCCUGCUCUCCGUGCUUCGCAAGCACUUCCCAGAUUCCAAACUGCCAAAAGACGGCCGCACUCUCCUGUCAACCCCUACUUAUGCGGAGAUAGUACCAAAAGCUGGGGGGAACAUGCACUAUUUUGGUGUGGCAAAAGGGAUCUUGGGCCGAAUGCAAGAACAGGACUUAGCUAAAAACCAAACACUAAAACUACAAAUAAAUGUGGAUGGCCUGGCCCUUUUUAAAAGCAGCAGCCAGCAAUUUUGGCCAAUUCUUGCACUAAUUGAAGAGGACCCCAUUAGAUCCCCAUUUCUAAUUGGUUUAUAUUGCGGAUACUCCAAGCCAACCGAUGCAAGCGAGUACCUCUCUGACUUUGUGGCAGAGAUGGGGAAGCUUGCAUCUGAUGGCUUGGAGUAUCAGUCAAAAAAAAAAAAUCGAAAUUUCCUGUUUUGUCUGUGAUGCACCGGCAAGGGCAUUUCUAAAAAACAUAAAAGCACACAAUUCCUAUUACGGCUGCGAAAGGUGCAUGCAAGAGGGCUCAUGGGCAAACCGACGCCUAAAUUACUCCGAAACAGAUGCGGUUCUCAGAACCGAUGACAGUUUUGCCACAAAAGUCAACCAGGAACAUCACAAAGAGGGCGACAGUCCAUUACAACACCUAGAUGUAGGCUUGGUGACCCAAUUUGUGCUGGACUUUAUGCACCUGGUGUGCCUAGGAGUGAUGAGAAAGUUGAUCUGGCUGUGGCAGAGAGGGCCCCUUCCAACCCGCAUUGGGAGUCAAUCCAUCUGCAUUAUUUCAGAGAACUUAAUCAAAUUGGGCAAGAGGCUGCCAAAGGAGUUUGGACGCAAGGGAAGGUCCCUCCGUGAGGUUGAUCGGUGGAAGGCCACUGAAUUUAGGACUUUUUUACUAUACACUGGCCCCAUUGCAUUAAAAAAAAAACCUACCAAAACACAUGUAUCAACAUUUUCUUUUACUCCACGUAGCAAUAACAAUUUUAUGUUCCCCCCGUCUCCACCACCGUUAUUGUGACUAUACGGAAAAUCUCCUGGUAGUGUUCGUUCAGAAUUUUCACGCCAUCUAUGGGGACUUUCUGGUGUAUAACGUCCACAGCUUGAUCCACCUGGCAAGUGAUGUUAGAAAAUAUGGCCCACUACCCCAAAUUUCUGCCUUUCCCUUCGAAAAUUUCUUGUAUAAAUUAAAGAAACUAAUUAGAAAGCCAAACCAGACAUUACAACAAAUUGUUAAACGAUUAACGGAAAAAUCAAGCAUCAACCCAGUCUGUCCAUCUUCCCAUAACCAAAGUUCACCCUCAACAACACAGUACGCCACUGAUAGAUUUACCCUGUCCACAAAGGAUGGGAACAACACAGUUUCGUGUGGUGGUGCCACUUUUAAAAUAGAGGCAAUUAGCAGGACACUUGGUGGUAUGUCUUUUGUGGCGAGGCAAUAUUUAGACCAACGUCCAUUUUUCAACCACCCUGUUGAUUCAACUGCACUGGGGACAGCUGUGGUUGGGAACCUGGCAGAAGAGACCACGUCAAUUGCCGUUAAAGAUAUUGACUUUAAGAUGGUCACGUUAGAAUACAAGAACAAAGUUGUGGCAGUUCCACUCAACCACAACUAAAUUAAUUUAAAAAUGAUUCAUAUUUCAAUCAAUUAAAUCGGUUAUCUAAAUUCAAUGUGUUAAACUUUUUCAAAACGUAUUUUCUGUUUAGAUGUAUGCGGUAGUUCAUUUUACCGAGUCAAAUGAGGUGGAGGUUGUGCCUUGCUCGUGGCUAAGUUUGGACGGCAAGGUGUCUUUUUGGCCACCGUAUAAAGACACCAAGCGGACGAAAAUUGCAGUCAUCCAAAGCGCUAUGCCAGAUGAGAACUGGGGAGUUUUUUGUGGAGGUGGUGAAAACCUUUGGUGAGACAGACAAAAGUAGGAUGUACCACUUUUCUCCCCUUAGGCUUUAAAAGCUUUACUCACUUCAUUGUUGUCUUCAACAGCCAAUUAUGAUGCAGCGCGUAUGAACCAGAAAAAAGCCCAAACCAGGAGCA
ensembl:lncRNA